CUGUGUUCUCUCUGCUCUGCUCCCUUGCAUCAGCUCCCAGCAUCAGUAGACAGCCCGCAAGGGAGCAGAGCAGAGAGAACACAACU